CACGUAGGGUGCGAGCGUUGUCCGGAAUUAUUGGGCGUAAAGAGCGUGUAGGCGGCCAUGUAGGUCCGGUGUGAAAACUCGAGGCUUAACCUCGAGAUGUCAUCGGAAACCAUUUGGCUAGAGUCCGGAAGAGGAGAGUGGAAUUCCUGGUGUAGCGGUGAAAUGCGCAGAUAUCAGGAAGAACACCAAUGGCGAUAGCAGCUCUCUGGGACGGUACUGACGCUGAGACGCGAAAGCGUGGGGAGCGAACAGG
rnacentral:rRNA from 1 species